GCUAGGAAGUGUGGUGACGGUCCGACGUUACGUCGGACAGGAAAGUCCGGACUGCUGGAAGCAGGGUGCUUGGCGAAAGCCUUGGGUCCGAUGGGCAUGGCCAACGGACACAGUGAAGCCACAGAGACGAGUCCGCCAGCUGGCGGAGUGAAACGGCCCCGAUGCCUAUGUUUUCGGGGACUUAGCCACGUUCAGUUACAUGAACGUGGCAGGGGUAAUUCUCCCCGCAGCAACUUCCGAAUGAGUCGUUAUCAGGACGCUUCCCCGAGACUCGAAGUUUGAAGGCAUAGAGAGAUGUCAUCACUAGACAGAAUCCGGCUUACAGCUUCCUAGCAUUU
rnacentral:RNase_P_RNA from 1 species